GAAUGUCCUUCAACUGAACCGAAAAUAUAGCUACUUGAAAGACCAAAGUAAACUCCUCUGUGAUGCUCUGCUGGUGCUGCAUGGAGAGUUACAAAAUCUCAGGGGGACAGGUCAGGACGCAACCCACUCGCCGAGUGUGAAGUGUUUGAAUCGGGUGAUGAAUGGAUCGCUCUCCUCAACGGACACCAGGUUCAAAGCAGGACGACAGAAAGCCGAAGGAAUCAACGGCGUUGAGGAGGAACACUGCAGGUUUACCACACCAGACGUUCCAUGUUAAAAAAAAAACAACAGAAAAGGCUCAAAUUGUUUUCAAAAACUACUGCAAUCUCAACCUUUAAGUGUCACGUCGAUUGAAAACACACAUCGAUGAAAGGCAAUCCAACGGGUUAUUCAGAUGCACAGAGAUUAUGUAACCAUUUGGCCCCUAUAUACGGCGCCGUCCUCCUCUUCAAAAUGCUCAACCUGCACAAUCUCUCAGGGGUGUGAUGAGAUUCAGUGUGACUAUCACAGCAACAUGACACUUCUCUGUGACUUCAUGCAUUAAAACAUGAGUGAGCGAUCACAGGUGACAACAUGAUGCAGCCAGAGGUGGAUGAUGGAGUGAAACGCAGGAAAUCCAAAGCUUUUAUCUUUUAUUUAGCUCACAGAUUUAUGGCCUUCUGCUCUCGCUGCUUGGAGGAAACGUUAUUUAUGCUCAACCCUUCAUUCAGUCUCACUUUGGAUUAAUUCUUAAGGACUGUAGUCGGCUUC
ensembl:lncRNA